CGUUGUUGUCCAUCUCAAUGUGACCAUUACAACAGAUGAGAAACAGAUCAACAUAGAGAUUGGUGGUCAUUUUUCCCCUGGAGGGUAUUUAGUCAGACCUUCACCUCAUAGUGGACAGACCAAAGCUCAGGAUAUUGAUCAGGAGGAACCAAUGGAGUGGGAGCCUUAUGAGGGGGUGAACAACCAGCUGGGUACUGAUGGAAAGGACAAUAAAGGACGUCUACCAUGAACCUACAGCCUAACCCGACACCUCUUGGAUGGAGAAGAACUAAGGAUAUGAGUGGAGAUAAAGAGGAACAAAUGGAGGAGUGCUGAGACGAAACACACUGCGUUAAUAUUCUCUUAAUCUCUCAUUUCCUUGUGACUAAUGUAUGGAGUCUCUUUGCCUGGUCUGAUUUAUACAUAACUAUGUUGGUGCUUCUUUCUCUGUUUUAUGUAACUUAACCACACAUUUUCAUCUGACAUUUUAGAUUUAAUUGCUAAUAUUAAACAUAAUUCACAAUAAAGGCCACGCUACAUACUCUUGCUAUGUUUGUCUCAUUUACAAUUCACAUCUGCACCAUUGCUGUUUAAGCAAACUAACAAGUUUUCAUAUAGCU